CGGAUCGGUAUAUAGACGUCCGUAUCUUUCUUCGAGAGGCUAUAGGACUUCUUUAGGAAACUUCCCUCUUUUUAUUCUUUAUCGUACGAAGUUCUUUCAUACCUUGUGUUCUAAGUUGUGUUUCACUCUUUCUGCAUGAAUGGUGUGGCUUAUACUUCUAUCAGUUGAGAGAUGCUUUAAGAUAUUGGUGGAGAUUAUUUGUCGGUUGUAGGCUUAUUUAUGCUCUUGAGUUGUCAUAGGAUAAGUUUUCUGAUGCCUUUCUAGAGAGAUUCGUGCCUUACAGUUUGAGGGAUUGAAUGCAAUACGAGUUAGAUCAUUUGGAGAAAGGCUCCAUGACAGUUGUUGAGUAUGAGACAUAUUUCCCC
rnacentral:lncRNA from 1 species